GUUAUAUGGUCAAGCAACUAAGCGCAUACGGUGGAUGCCUUGGCAGUCAGAGGCGAUGAAGGACGUAGAAACCUGCGAUAAGGUUAGGGGAGCUGGUAAACAAGCUUUGAUCCUAACAUUUCCGAAUGGGGAAACCCACCCAACACCAGUUGGGUAUCCCACACUGAAUACAUAGGUGUGUGGAGGCGAACCCGGGGAACUGAAACAUCUAAGUACCCGGAGGAAAAGAAAUCAACCGAGAUUCCGAAAGUAGCGGCGAGCGAAAUCGGAUCAGCCCUUAAGCUUCGGUGUAGAUAGUGGAACGCUCUGGGAAGUGCGGCCAUAGUGGGUGAUAGCCCCGUACACGAAAUCUUAUCCGAAGUGAAAUCGAGUAGGGCGGGACACGUGAAAUCCUGUCUGAACGUAGGGGGACCACCCUCUAAGCCUAAGUACUCUCUAGCGACCGAUAGUGAACUAGUACCGUGAGGGAAAGGUGAAAAGUACCCCGACAAGGGGAGUGAAAUAGUACCUGAAACCGAAUGCUUACAAGCAGUCGGAGCGGAAACUUCGUGUUUCUGUGACGGCGUACCUUUUGUAUAAUGGGUCAGCGACUUAGUUUAUCGAGCAAGCUUAAGCCGUUAGGUGUAGGCGUAGCGAAAGCGAGUCUUAAUAGGGCAAACAUAGUUCGAUGAAUUAGACCCGAAACCGAGUGAUCUAGCCAUGGCCAGGCUGAAGGUGGAGUAAUAUCUGCUGGAGGGCCGAACCCACUAAUGUUGAAAAAUUACGGGAUGAGCUGUGGCUAGGGGUGAAAGGCCAAUCAAACUCGGAUAUAGCUGGUUCUCCGCGAAAUCUAUUUAGGUAGAGCGUUAUAUGUUUACCAUCGAAGGUAGAGCACUGGAUAAGCUAGGGGGUCCAACAGACUUACCAAACUUAACCAAACUCCGAAUGUCGAUGAGUAUAGUAUAGCAGACAGACCAUGGGUGCUAAGGUCCAUGGUCAAGAGGGAAAGAGCCCAGACCGCCAUCUAAGGUCCCAAAAUCAUGACUAAGUGUUAAAGGAUGUGGGAAGACCAAAACAACUAGGAUGUUGGCUUAGAAGCAGCCAUCAUUUAAAGAAAGCGUAAUAGCUCACUAGUCUAAAUAAGUUUUCUUGCGCCGACAAUGUAACGGGGCUAAAGUUAUGUACCGAAGAUGCGGAUUCAUACAUUUUAUGUGUGAGUGGUAGCGGAGCGUUCCGUAAGCCUGUGAAGGUCAACCGUGAGGUUGGCUGGAGGUAUCGGAAGUGAGAAUGCUG
rnacentral:rRNA from 1 species